CUCACCUCUUACCAUUCCGAACAGAGAAGUUAAGCCCAUUAGCGCCGAUGGUACUACAAUCGUGGAAGAGUAGGUCGCUGCCUUUU
rnacentral:rRNA from 1 species